rnacentral:rRNA from 1 species
AGAGUUUGAUCCUGGCUCAGGAUGAACGCUGGCGGCGUGCUUAACACAUGCAAGUCGAGCGAAGCACUUUUGCGGAUUUCUUCGGAUUGAAGCAAUUGUGACUGAGCGGCGGACGGGUGAGUAACGCGUGGGUAACCUGCCUCAUACAGGGGGAUAACAGUUGGAAACGGCUGCUAAUACCGCAUAAGCGCACAGUACCGCAUGGUACCGUGUGAAAAACUCCGGUGGUAUGAGAUGGACCCGCGUCUGAUUAGCUAGUUGGUGGGGUAACGGCCUACCAAGGCGACGAUCAGUAGCCGACCUGAGAGGGUGACCGGCCACAUUGGGACUGAGACACGGCCCAAACUCCUACGGGAGGCAGCAGUGGGGAAUAUUGCACAAUGGGGGAAACCCUGAUGCAGCGACGCCGCGUGAGCGAUGAAGUAUUUCGGUAUGUAAAGCUCUAUCAGCAGGGAAGAAAAUGACGGUACCUGACUAAGAAGCCCCGGCUAACUACGUGCCAGUAGCCGCGGUAAUACGUAGGGGGCAAGCGUUAUCCGGAUUUACUGGGUGUAAAGGGAGCGUAGACGGCAUGGCAAGCCAGAUGUGAAAGCCCGGGGCUCAACCCCGGGACUGCAUUUGGAACUGUCAGGCUAGAGUGUCGGAGAGGAAAGCGGAAUUCCUAGUGUAGCGGUGCAAUGCGUAGAUAUUAGGAGGAACACCAGUGGCGAAGGCGGCUUUCUGGACGAUGACUGACGUUGAGGCUCGAAAGCGUGGGGAGCAAACAGGAUUAGAUACCCUGGUAGUCCACGCCGUAAACGAUG